rnacentral:rRNA from 1 species
AUUGAACGCUGGCGGCAUGCCUUACACAUGCAAGUCGAACGGCAGCACGGGAGCAAUCCUGGUGGCGAGUGGCGAACGGGUGAGUAAAGUAUCGGAACGUGCCCAGUCGUGGGGGAUAACGUAGCGAAAGAUACGCUAAUACCGCAUACGAUCUAUGGAUGAAAGCGGGGGAUCGCAAGACCUAGCGCGAUUGGAGCGGCCGAUAUCAGAUUAGGUAGUUGGUGGGGUAAAGGCUCACCAAGCCGACGAUCUGUAGCUGGUCUGAGAGGACGACCAGCCACACUGGGACUGAGACACGGCCCAGACUCCUACGGGAGGCAGCAGUGGGGAAUUUUGGACAAUGGGCGAAAGCCUGAUCCAGCCAUGCCGCGUGCAGGAUGAAGGCCUUCGGGUUGUAAACUGCUUUUGUACGGAACGAAAAGGUUUGGCCUAAUAAGCUGAGCUCAUGACGGUACCGUAAGAAUAAGCACCGGCUAACUACGUGCCAGCCGCCGCAGUAA